rnacentral:rRNA from 1 species
GGCCGGGCGACGGUUGUCCCGGUUUAAGCGUGUAGGUGUGUGUUCCAGGUAAAUCCGGUUCACUUUAACACUGAGGCGUGACGACGAGGCACUACGGUGCUGAAGCAACAAAUGCCCUGCUUCCAGGAAAAGCCUCUAAGCAUCAGGUAACAUCAAAUCGUACCCCAAACCGACACAGGUGGUCAGGUAGAGAAUACCAAGGCGCUUGAGAGAACUCGGGUGAAGGAACUAGGCAAAAUGGUGCCGUAACUUCGGGAGAAGGCACGCUGACACGUAGGUGAAGUGAUUUACUCAUGGAGCUGAAGUCAGUCGAAGAUACCAGCUGGCUGCAACUGUUUAUUAAAAACACAGCACUGUGCAAACACGAAAGUGGACGUAUACGGUGUGACGCCUGCCCGGUGCCGGAAGGUUAAUUGAUGGGGUCAGCGCAAGCGAAGCUCCUGAUCGAAGCCCCGGUAAACGGCGGCCGUAACUAUAACGGUCCUAAGGUAGCGAAAUUCCUUGUCGGGUAAGUUCCGACCUGCACGAAUGGCGUAAUGAUGGCCAGGCUGUCUCCACCCGAGACUCAGUGAAAUUGAACUCGCUGUGAAGAUGCAGUGUACCCGCGGCAAGACGGAAAGACCCCGUGAACCUUUACUAUAGCUUGACACUGAACAUUGAGCCUUGAUGUGUAGGAUAGGUGGGAGGCUUUGAAGUGUGGACGCCAGUCUGCAUGGAGCCGACCUUGAAAUACCACCCUUUAAUGUUUGAUGUUCUAACGUGGACCCGUUACCCGGGUUGCGGACAGUGUCUGGUGGGUAGUUUGACUGGGGCGGUCUCCUCCUAAAGAGUAACGGAGGAGCACGAAGGUUGGCUAAUCCUGGUCGGACAUCAGGAGGUUAGUGCAAUGGCAUAAGCCAGCUUGACUGCGAGCGUGACGGCGCGAGCAGGUGCGAAAGCAGGUCAUAGUGAUCCGGUGGUUCUGAAUGGAAGGGCCAUCGCUCAACGGAUAAAAGGUACUCCGGGGAUAACAGGCUGAUACCGCCCAAGAGUUCAUAUCGACGGCGGUGUUUGGCACCUCGAUGUCGGCUCAUCACAUCCUGGGGCUGAAGUAGGUCCCAAGGGUAUGGCUGUUCGCCAUUUAAAGUGGUACGCGAGCUGGGUUUAGAACGUCGUGAGACAGUUCGGUCCCUAUCUGCCGUGGGCGCUGGAGAACUGAGGGGGGCUGCUCCUAGUACGAGAGGACCGGAGUGGACGCAUCACUGGUGUUCGGGUUGUCAUGCCAAUGGCACUGCCCGGUAGCUAAAUGCGGAAGAGAUAAGUGCUGAAAGCAUCUAAGCACGAAACUUGCCCCGAG